rnacentral:tRNA from 1 species
UAAAUCAUAGUUUAAAGAAAACAUUUAACUUACAAUUAAAAAUUACCUAAGUUGAUUUAA